AAAUAUUUAUAAUUCUAAUUUCCACGUUGCAAUAGUUUACGCGUUGAAUAAUUUUAUUUUAUUUUUUUUGAGAAAUAGGUAGCACGCUACCUGCUUCAUUUAUUUUAUUUAGAAAUAAACUUAGCCAGAAAUAUGAAUCAAUUAGGAUUCGAACUUGGGACCUCGGAUUCCAACCACUAAGUCCUUUGUCACUUGCUCUAAGAACAGUGGGUAUGCAUUGAAUAAUUAUAAAAUAGAAAGCAAUGGAAAAUGAUGUGCCAAGCUACUUAACAAAAACAACACAAUUUAUCUUUUUAUGAUUAUAGUUAUCAAUGAUUAAGCUUUUUGCAAGUGAUACAAUAACAUGUUUUUAGCUCGAACAAAUUGAAUAAUAUGUACCCCUUAGAAGUCAAAAUUCACUUAUGUAUACCAUAUGAACUCAAAAUUCUUGCCAAAAGAAAAUGGGAAAAUGGAAAAAAUGUAAUUUUGAUGACUUUUCUGGUAAGAUAUAUAUAUAUAUAUAUAGAGAGAGAGAGAGUAGGGCUGCUGUGCUCUCAGGAGCACGGAGGCCUCCGUACUCUUGAGCCGUUUUCGAUGAUGGAAUUUUCGAAUUGAUGAUCGGUUCCGUUAGACUUGAUCUAAGGUAUUUGAAAUUUCUAGAAAAUAAUUUUUGUAAUUUUUUGACAUCAUUUACCUAGUGAACGAAAGGAUUCAAAAUCAAUAAUUUUUAAGGGUUGAUAUCUACCGUUUUCAAGCUUAACGGUGUAGAAGUAUUCAAAUCAGAUGAAAAUUUUGAUACAAAAUUCUUUAUACUAUCUAAAACAAGAUCAAUAUUUCUGAUCGAAAAUUUUAGUGCUAUAUCACCACUUUUUCUAGAAUUUUUAUUUUCAGCCGUUAAAAAUUAUUGAUUUUGAAUCAUUUCGAUUGUUAGGUAAAUGAUAUCGAAAAAUUCUAAAAAUUAUUUUCUAAAAACUUCAAAUACGCUAGAUCAAGUCUAACGGAGCCGAUCAUCAAUACGGAAAUUCCAUCAUCGAAAACAGCUUAGGAGCACGGAGGCCUCCGUCCUCCUGAGAGCACAGCAGUCAUGCUCUAUAUAUAUAUAUAUAUAUAACUAGGCUGGAAUACUAUCAAUAGCAUCAAGCUAUUGGUGCUAUUGAUUUUUUAGCCCUUAGAUUGAGAAAUGGGUGGUUAGGAUGAUGUGGACCCCCUAGGGUUGAGUGAGUGGUUGGUUGAAUAGUAUAAUCUAACGGGUAAAAAUAAUCAGAGAGUUAAAUCUAACGGUGGAAAACUCGAUAGCAUCAAAUCCUUAGUACUAUCGAUAGUAUUCCAGCCGGACUCUAUAUAUAUAUAUAUAUACAUAUAUAUAUAUAUAUAUAUAUAUAUAUAUAUAUAUAUAGAGCUAGUCUCCUAUAUUAUCUGGAGUAUCGGAGCUCUGGUACUAUAGUCUCGUUUUCGAUCUUAGGGUAUUCAAAUCAACGAUCCACACCGUUAAAACUGAUCUAGGAUAUUUAAAGUUUUUAGAAACAAAAUUUUAUAUUUUUUCGACAUAGUUUACUUUAUGAUCAAACCAUUUCAAAAUUGUCAAUUUUUAAUGGCUACUAUGGCGAGUUUGGAGUUUAAUGGUGUAGAAAAAUCUAAAUUUCUUCAAAUUUUGAUAGAAAAUACUUUAAACUAUCUAGAUUAAGGUUAACAUUCUUAAUCUUGAAUUUAAAAGUCCUAUGCUCAAAUUUUAAAGAUUAUUCAAUUUCUACCGUCCAUUUUGACAUAAUUUAUUUACUAAGUAAACAAUGUCAAAAAAACUAAAAUUUUAUUCCUAAGAAUUUCAUAUACCCUAAAUCAUAUUUAACGGUGUGAAUCGUUAAUUUGAACAUCCUAAAUUCAAAAACAAGACUAUAGUACCGAAACUCCGGUACUAUAGAUAGUACAGUAACCUAAUUAUAUAUAUAUAUAUAACUAGGUUACUGUGCUAUUAAUAGCACAAAGUCAUUGGUGCUACCAAGUUUUUUGCUAUUGGAUUAAGAAAUGUGCUGUUAAAAUGAUGUGGGCCCUCUAGAGUUGAGUGGGUGGUUGGUUGAAUAGUAUGAUCUAACGAGUGAAAAUGAUCCAAAGGGUAGAUCUAACGGCGGAAAACUUGGUAGCAUCAAGUGCUAGAGAGAGAGAGAGAGAGAGAGAGAGAGAGAGAGUACGUCUCCCGUGCUUUCGAAAGUACGAAGGCCUCCGUACUUGUAAGUUGUUUUCGAUGAUAGGACAUCCAAUUCGACGAUCGGCUCCGUUAGGCAUAAUCUAUACUAUUGGAACUAUUUAAAAACCAAAUUUUAUAAUUUUUCGACAUCAUUUACCAAGCGAUCACAGGGUCUCAAAAAUGACUAUUUUAACGGCCGAUGUGGCACUUUUUUAAGUUCAACGGUGUAAAAGUAUCCAAAUUACAUGAAACUUUAAUAGAAAAUUCUACUUAACAUCAAGAACAAGAACAAUACUUCCAAUUUAAAAUUUGAGUCAUUUAUCACUGUUUUUAUGAGAUUUUUAUUUUCAACCGUUCAUUUUGAGGUUACUCGUUCACUAGGCAAGCGAAGCCAAAAAAUUAUGAGAUUUGGUUUCUAGAUAAUUCCAAUAACGUAAAUCAUGUUUAAUGGAACCGAUCGCCGAAUCGGACGUCCCAUCAUUGAAAAUAAUUUAUAAGUAUGGAGGCCUCCGUAUUUUCGAAAGUAUAGAAGCCUAACUCUAUAUAUAUAUAUAUAUAUAUAUAUAUAUAUAUAUAUAUAUAUAUAUAUAUAUAUAUAUAUUCUU
rnacentral:lncRNA from 1 species